rnacentral:rRNA from 1 species
AACGAACGCUGGCGGCGUGCCUAACACAUGCAAGUCGAGCGAGAAAGUCCCGGCAACGGGAUGAGUACAGCGGCGAACGGGUGAGUAACGCGUGGGUAAUCUACCCUCCAGCUCGGGAUAACCUGCCGAAAGGUGGGCUAAUACCGGAUGAUGUUCCCGUGGGCAUCCUGCGGGAGGCGAAGGGGGCGAGCGUAAGCAGCUCUCACUGGAGGAGGAGCCUGCGUCCGCUUAGCUAGUUGGUAGGGUAAUGGCCUACCAAGGCGACGAUCGGUAGCCGGCCUGAGAGGGCGACCGGCCACACUGGAACUGAGACACGGUCCAGACUCCUACGGGAGGCAGCAGUGGGGAAUCUUGCGCAAUGGGCGAAAGCCUGACGCAGCGACGCCGCGUGGGCGAUGAAGGCCUUCGGGUCGUAAAGCCCUGUCGGGUGGGACGAACUUCCUGGUGGCGAAUAACCACCGGGCUUGACGGUACCACCGAAGGAAGCCCCGGCUAACUACGUGCCAGCCGCCGCGGUAA